GCGGGUUUAGCUCAGUUGGGAGAGCGUCAGACUGAAGUCAACUUCAUCAAGUCAUCUGAAGGUCGUGUGUUCGAUCCACACAAACCGCA
rnacentral:tRNA from 1 species